GGUGCUAUGUAUUUCUAUGUGAACUCGUGCUUAUGUUUUUACAGGGCCUUGCACGUGCUAGGCAACUGCUCUGCCACUGAGUUGCAGGUACCCCUAGACCUGUGCCUCUUUUUUUGAGACAGAGUCUCAUUAAAUUGCUGAGACUGGCUUCAAAUUUGCAAUCCUCUUGCUCAGCCUCCCAAGUUGCUGGAAUUACAGGCAUGUGCCAGUGAACACUGGCACGUGCCUAUUUUGAACGAGGACACUCAGAUUUAAAAGGAGUAAGGUUGGCUGGGCCAUGGUGCACACCUGUAAUCCGAACAACUCAGGAGACUGAGGCAGAAGGAUGGCAAGUUCAAGGCCAGCCUCAGCAACUUAUUGAGGCCCUAGGCAACCUAGCAAGACCCUGUCUCAAAGUAAAAAGUAAAAAUUGCUGAGAUAUGGCUUGGUGGUUAAAGACCCCCCAGGCUCAAUCCCCAGUAAUAAGGGGGAAAAAAAAAGUAAGGUUAGAAGCCAUUCUGUAUAAGAAGCACAGGGAAAAUAAAAAGAGCUGGGUGAAUGUUGAAAUAAAAACUGCUAUAAUCUGUGUUUAAAAUACCUUUGCAAACAAACAAGGAAAAUCCUUAAUGUUUCAUGUGUAAAACAGAGUCAGGUACUGGGCUCAGGUAAUUCAGAGGUUUUCACUAUGUAAAUCCCCAGUGGGACCUCCACAGGGAGAGAGACCCAGAGGUCACAUACCCUGGUGACCGCAACAACAGGCAGAGGUAUCCACCCAGAGCCUUCCUGGAAGAGGUGGCCCCUCUCAGCCCUUAGGGGAAGAGCGAGGCAAAGUACAGAGAGGCAAAGUACAAAGUACAGAGAGUUGCAUGAUCAGAAAUUGUCAGCAGCUCUGUGUUUGAGCCAUUUCCAAUUUUUAAAAAAAUAUUUUUCAUCGUAGAUGGACACAAUCCCUUUAUUUUGUUUAUUUAGGUUAUUUUUAUGUGGUGCUGGGGAUCAAAUCCAGUGCCUCACGCAUGCUAGUGCUCUACCACUGAGCCACGACCCCAGUCCACCAUUUCCAAUUUGGAUCACAGCAGCGGGAGAGAAAACAGAUGGACAUCCACAUCAGCAUUGGUGUACAGGGGACCUGGCUGCAGACCCAGAACUGACUCUCAUCAGAGAGAUGGAGGUGUGCCCUGGGAGGCUGAGUAUGUACUCGGGCGUGGAGAUGUCAGCGGCCUGCAGACCUGUUCAGCUUCUCAUCUAACACUUUUUUCUUCCAGUGAAGGAAACUGAGGGAAAGAGCAGCAGGCACUCCAGAGACCUGGGAAACGAAGCAGAGCGGGGACAUGGUGGUCAACGGCAGAGCCAGGUAAGCAAGCAGGGUCGGAGCGGGUCCCUGAGGUGCGGUGAGAUGGUGGUCCCUGGAUUUGUCUCUUGGUCCUGGAUGGUCUUAUCAAUAGUGUCUUCACUGGGGUGAUGAAGGAGGAAGACAGAUGGGGGUAGGGGAGAGACAGGCAGGUGUGAGGCAGCUGAGGGGACAGUCCUUUGAAUGCCAGGGUGUGGGUGCAGGGGAGAGCUGAGGGGAACCAGGCAGGAGCCUGUGUCAGGGGCAGUUUCUCCCCAGGGUGGAGCCGAGAACAAGAAGGGUGAAAAUGGAAGAUGAAACAAUGACACUAGGCUGGGCACAGAAUCUGAGCAGGAGGAUCACAAGUUCAAGGCCAGCCUGGGCAACUGAGACCCUGUCUCAAAAAAAAAAAAAAAAAUUAAGGAAGGGCUGGGGCUGCAGCCCAGUGGUCCUGGGUUUAGUACUAAAAACAAAACAGAACAAAAACAGGCAAACACUAGUCUGUCCUACCCUCUGGCCCAUCCUACCCCGCUCUACCUCCAUGCAAGGGCCCAGCCACCCUGCUCCAGCCAUUGGGUGGAGAGUGGGAUGUGUUCACAAGCCUACAGGACAGAGAUCUGCUCCUGUGAAGGGUGACUCCUCCCCCCAACUUCCCAUGUGUCCUCUCAGGAGGGGACACCUUCCUGGGAAGCCCACAGGUGGGCUGGGUUAGGGGAGUGGGGAGACAGUCAUUGUGGCUGCUGCUGGCAUUGGAUUUUGGCUAUACUUGCAGCGCAUAUAAGUGAUCUCACACACCCAGCUCCUGCAGGAUGUACAUUACACGUGUGCAACAGUUCAUGUAGGACAUAUACGUGUCUGUGUGCACGAGUACACACACGCAUUGCUCACCAAG